rnacentral:lncRNA from 1 species
ACUGGGCACAAUGAUUCAGUCUACCACAGUUUCUCAUGAACUAAAACAUAAAGUAUGUUUUCCAUGAACUGAAAUCUACUUAUCUUGCCAAAGAAUAGUCUUAAAAAUAUGUCAUUUCCUCCAAGACAUCAUCAAUUCCAUCUUCUUUCCACAGCCUUAACCAGGAUGCUCUGGCACCUCCCACAUUAGUCUCACAUUCUAAAAUGACAGAUUAACUAAGAGACCAUCUAUUUAUUUUCCUUAUAUGUUUAAGCCAGUGUAUAGUUAACUACUCAAGUUU